UUAGUUGAAGCCAAAUAGAGGCAUCUUAAUGUUAAUAAGAAAAAUGGUUUAUUAUCCCGGCUAAA
rnacentral:tRNA from 1 species